rnacentral:tRNA from 1 species
AGGGCUAUCGCCAAACGGUAAGGCACUGGAUUCUGAUUCCAGCACUUCAAGGUUCGAAUCCUUGUAGCCCUG